AUAUGGUGAGAUCGUGCAUACUGUAUCAGUCUGUCUCGACCUGGGAAAAUAAUGCUUUUAGCAACUAUGACGGCUAACAGAGGUGGGCUCGGUCCUCUGUCCUUAUCCCCGCCAUGCUGUUGUCUCUCUAUCUCUCUCUCUCUCUCUCUCUCUCUCUCUCUCUCUCUCUCUCUCUCUCUCUCUCGCUCUCUCUCUCUUCUUCUCUCUCUCUCUCCUAUCUCUAGGCGCGUGUGUACUAUGGGGUUCUGUAGUAAAAUGUCCAGAGGGCAAGCAGUAAUCAUGGGGUGAGGCUAAUGUCAGAGCGGCAUCAAAGACCCUUAACUGGAUACGUACGUUAAACCCACUCUGAAAUCCAGGGCAUGUUGACUCCUGCGUCCCUCUCGUUCAGUUUUUCCACUCUGACUGUUGCCUGUAUUUGCAUAGCCAUGCGGAAAAGAAAGCUCAACGAAUGUGCUUACCCAUCCGAGAAGGAAGAACAAGCUCCAUGGAGUCCCCUAACCUGGAGUUUGAGUAUGGGGACACAGACAGCCUGACCACUGAACUCUCAGAGAUAUACAGUUACACGGAGGAGCCCGAGUUCACCCUCAACAGGGACUACUUUGAGGAGGAUUUCAGGAGCCAUGUGCGGGGAAGGAGGUGGAUUGAGCUGGGUCAGGAGCAGCAGAAGGCCUAUGUGAUGAGACUACUAGAUGCUCUGGAGGUCACUGACCGGGACAAGAGGCUGAAGGUGGCCCGGGCCAUCCUCUACCUGGCACAGGGGGUGUUUGACGAGUGUGACACGGACGCGGACGUGAUCCACUGGUCUCGCCACAACGUGUUCCUGCUGUAUGACAUGGGCAUCUUCACCGCUCUCCUGGAGCUGCUGAGCAUGGAGAUGGAUAACAACCAAGCCUGCAGCAGCGCAGUGAGGAAACCUGCUAUCUCUCUGGCGGACAGCACAGAACUCAGGGUCUUGCUAAGCAUCAUGUACCUGAUGGUGGAGACCAUCCGUCUGCAGACAGAGGAUGACAGACCAGAGUGGAGAACUGCCAGAGAGGCCUUCAAGACUGAACUGGGUUCUCCUCUGUACAACGGAGAGCCAUUCGCCCUGCUGCUCUUCACCAUGGUGACCAAGUUCUGCAGUAUGAACGCUCCACACUUUCCCAUGAAGAAGGUCCUGCUCCUGCUCUGGAAGACCAUCCUGUUCACCAUGGGGGGCUUUGAGGAGCUCCAGGAGAUGAAGGUUCGAGGCAGAGAGAGGCUGAGCCUGCCCCCCCUGCCUGAGGACAGCAUCAAGGUGGUCCGGAGCAUGAGGGCAGCCUCUCCUCCAGCCUCGGCAAUGGAGCUCAUCGAGCAGCAACAGCAGGCCAAGAGAGGACGCCGCAGCCGCAGGCCCCUGGUAAAGCAGGACAGCCUAGACACGUACAACGAGCGAGACCCCUUUAAGAACGACGAUGCACGAGACGAGGAGGAGGACGGCGAGGAAGCCGACAGUGGCAUCGAGGGCGAGGUGGACCCCCUGGACAGUGAUGUCAUCAUCCAGCCACCACCCCCACCGCCCCCGCUCAGACCCCCCACUGAGAGAGCAUCCCUCCCCAAGGGUCUGCCCUGGGCCCCCAAAGUCAGAGAGAAAGACAUCGAGCAGUUCUUGGAGACCAGCAGGAUCAAGUUCAUCGGCUUCACUCUGGGAAAUGACACAGAGACACUAGUCGGUCUUCCUAGACCCAUACACGAGAGUGUGAAGACCCUUAAACAGGUAAGGAGAGAAAUUUGUCUUAUCAUUUAUCCUCUCCUCCUCCUCCUCUCAAUCCCUCCAUCCCUCUCAAUCCCUCCAUCCCUCUCUCUCCACCAGCAUCAAGGAGAAGAGGAUGUGGAUGAGACUCCCACAGAGAUCCUGUAUCUGGGAAUGCUUCCUAACCUGUCUCAGUAUGUGAUUGCCCUUCUGAAGCUGCUGCUGGCUGCAGCACCUACCUCCAAGGCCAAGACUGACUCCAUCAAUAUACUGGCUGAUGUGCUGCCAGAGGAGAUGCCAAUCACGGUCCUCCAGAGCAUGAAGCUGGGUAUUGAUGUGAACAGACACAAGGAGAUCAUUGUCAAGGCCAUCUCUGCACUUCUGCUCCUGCUGCUCAAGCACCUGAAACUCAAUCACAUCUACCAAUUUGAGAUUGUCUCUCAACACCUGGUGUUCGCUAACUGCAUCCCACUCAUCCUCAAGUUCUUCAACCAGAACAUCCUGUCUUACAUCAGUGCCAAAAACAGUAUAUGUGUGCUGGACUUCCCUCACUGUGUGGUCCACGAGAUGCCUGAGCUCACGGCUGAGAGCUUGGAAGCUGGAGACCGUAAUCAGUUCUGCUGGCGUAAUCUCUUCUCCUGCAUCAACCUGCUGAGGAUCCUCAACAAGCUGACUAAGUGGAAACACUCCAGGACCAUGAUGCUGGUGGUUUUCAAGUCUGCUCCCAUCCUGAAGAGGGCGCUGAAGGUCAAACAGGCCAUGAUGCAGCUGUAUGUCCUCAAGCUGCUCAAGAUCCAGACCAAGUACCUGGGCCGCCAGUGGAGGAAGAGCAACAUGAAGACCAUGUCAGCCAUCUACCAGAAAGUACGACACAGGCUCAACGACGACUGGGCCUAUGGCAACGAUAUCGACGCGCGGCCGUGGGACUUCCAGGCGGAGGAGUGCGCCCUGAGGGAGAGCAUCGAGAAGUUCAACAGCCGUCGCUACGACAAGAACCAGAACGGCGAGUUCGCCCCGGUGGACAACUGCCUGCAAAGCGUUCUGGGCCAGCGUGUUGAGCUGCCGGAGGACUUCCACUACAGCUAUGAAAUGUGGCUGGAGAGAGAGGUGUUUUCACAGCCUAUCCAAUGGGAGGGUCUACUACAACAGGCCCAAUGAGCGGGGAGGACACGCAUACCAGGGACACAAGCCUACGACUACUGUGAUCUUCAUGUAAAUAUGUGGCGCAAAUAGAACAUCUGUUUUGUAAUCACCUGUAUCCAUGCAGAAAUUGUACAGUAAUGGUAUAGACAGUAAUAAUGAUGUCAUGGCAACUUGGCAGGAGCAGGCUCUUACAGUACAACUAUGUGGAAUACUGUGAUUAUUCUGUUAGCGGUUGGAUUAGUUGUCGUGACUAUGUCCACUAUAACUAUAACCGCCAGUACAUUUUUUUCUCACUCAAUUUGGUUCGCUUCUGUUUUUUGUGGAAUAAUGAAUUUUAUAUCCAUGGCAUGUCCUCUUUUUUUUUUAUCAUGAAGAUGCACAUUUGAAGUACUGGCACUGUUUAGUUUAUGUUGUAAUGUUUUACAUGUGUAUUUAUUCAUGAUCACAGCCAUUUAUGUUUCGGUAUGUAAAUCUCAUAGCUGCAGAUGAUAUUGUCGUUGAUAUUUCUAGAAAAAAAAUGCCUAUUUGUAAAGAAAGUACUGUGUAUUAACAGGCUAACGAUGAAGUACCUUACUGUGAUUGUUUUCAAUGAAAAUAGCAAAGAGGAAUUUCUCAAGCAAGAAUUUAGCCAGGACUGUCUGGAGUUGGUCUGGGUAGGGAGGGGGGAAAUGAGCUGUUAUUGGUAGACGGGUUUUGAACUAAUUUAUCCCACCUGUGGAUGUCACCAGGCAGACCAAAACUCCAUCCUACCAAAACAGGAAGAUACAGCUGUUACAUUUAAAGAGCAUUAUCAUAAUGUUCACAAUUUCACAGUAUUAUUCCAACCUCCGUGUGGAAAUAUAUAUAUAACACAGGAAAAUAACAUUUCCCCUUUCUAGAUGAAUAGUAAUUUGUGUAAUCACAAACAGAUAUUCCUGUAAGUCAUUGAUUAUCAACUAGAUUCAGCUGCGGGAUGAUUUUUUUAAAAGACUUCUUCAGCGGAUGGUCAGGGUGCCGAAACACAAUUACAAAUCAUUUGUAGACAUAAAAAAAAACCCAGAUAUAAUAUUUUACCAAGCUAAACGUGCUUACAUUUGUAUACGAUCAAAUCUCUCUAUUAUGCGUGGGAAUACUUGGCAAACCGAUUUCCAAAAUUAAAAUCACUUUGACCUGAUUUCCUGGUGUUUUUCAUGUCUAACAAUGAGGAAAAAAAUAACUUGGAGGGGCAAAUAAAAUCUCCCGCUGUCCAAAUUCGGCCCA
ensembl:lncRNA